rnacentral:rRNA from 1 species
GAUGAACGCUAGCGGCAGGCCUAAUACAUGCAAGUCGAACGGUGUCUUCGGACAUAGUGGCGCACGGGUGCGUAACACGUAUGCAACCUACCUUACAUUGGGGGAUAGCCUUUCGAAAGGGAGAUUAAUACCGCAUAAGACAGUAGCUGGGCAUCCAGCAGCUGUUAAAGAUUUAUCGAUGUAAGCUGGGCAUGCGUCCAAUUAGCUAGUUGGUGAGGUAACGGCUCACCAAGGCGAUGAUUGGUAGGGGAACUGAGAGGUCAAUCCCCCACACUGGCACUGAGAUACGGACCAGACUCCUACGGGAGGCAGCAGUAGGGAAUAUUGGGCAAUGGACGCAAGUCUGACCCAGCCAUGCCGCGUGCAGGAUGAAGGCGUUAUGCGUUGUAAACUGCUUUUAUACAGGAAGAAACGACUCUUGCGAGAGGCAUUGACGGUACUGUAUGAAUAAGCACCGGCUAACUCCGUGCCAGCAGCCGCCGUAAGAC